rnacentral:rRNA from 1 species
GGGGAAUCUUGCGCAAUGGGCGAAAGCCUGACGCAGCGACGCCGCGUGGGGGAGGAAGCUUUUCGGAGUGUAAACCCCUGUCAGGAGGGAAGAACGGGCACCCGAGGAAAUGCGGGUGUUUUGACGGUACCUCCAAAGGAAGCACCGGCUAACUCUGUGCCAGCAGCCGCGGUAAUACAGAGGGUGCGAGCGUUGUUCGGAAUUACUGGGCGUAAAGCGCGCGCAGGCGGCCUUUUAAGUCUACCCGUGAAAUGCCGGAGCUCAACUCCGUGCACGCCGGGGGAUACUGGAGGGCUGGAGACAGGUAGAGGCAGGCGGAAUUCCGGGUGUAGCGGUGGAAUGCGUAGAGAUCCGGAAGAACACCAGAGGCGAAGGCGGCCUGCUGGGCCUUGUCUGACGCGGAGGCGCGAAAGCGUGGGGAGCGAA